GCAAUCCACGUUUCGUCCAAAGGUAGGACACUGGUUGGUUGACACCAAGGGUGCGGGUUCGAUUCCCGUAACGUUUGCA
rnacentral:tRNA from 1 species